rnacentral:rRNA from 1 species
UAACGGCCACCAAGCCUUCGAUGGAUAGGGGUUCUGAGAGGAAGGUCCCCCACAUUGGAACUGAGACACGGUCCAAACUCCUACGGGAGGCAGCAUG